UUUUUAGAAUCUUUAAUCGUGUAGGCUAUUGGUUUUGCUAUCCAUUUUCAAGGAAUGUUUAACAGGUUGCUUUAUCUUUUGUAAAUCUUCUCAGAAUAUUUAAUCGUGUAGGCUAUUGAUUUUGCUAUCCACUUUCAAGAAAUGUUAACAAGGCUUGUUAUUCCAUUUGUUGUUCAACUAUCUCCAUGUUACAAGUGUUAAAAAAC